rnacentral:rRNA from 1 species
UACGUAGGGUGCGUAGCGAUUGUCCGGAAUUAUUAGGGCGUAAAGAGCUUGUAGGCGGUUUGUCGCGUCUGCCUGUGAAAAUCCGGGGCUCAACCCGGACUUGCAGUGGGUACGGGCAGACUAGAGUGUGGUAGGGAGACUGGAAUUCCUGGUGUAGCGGUGAGAUGCGCAGAUAUCAGGAGGAACACCGAUGGCGAAGGCAGGUCUCUGGGCCACUACUGACACUGAGAGACGGAAGCUAGGGGAGCGAAUGG